rnacentral:rRNA from 1 species
GUCCACACUGUAAACGAUGAUAGCUAGGUGUGGGGGUCUGACCCCUUCCGUGCCGGAGUUAACGCAAUAAGCUAUCCACCUGGGGAGUACGACCGCAAGGUUGAAACUCAAAGGAAUUGACGGGGGCCCGCACAAGCAGUGGAUUAUGUGGUUUAAUUCGAAGCAACGCGAAGAACCUUACCAAGUCUUGACAUCCCUUGACGAUGCUGGAAACAGUAUUUCUCUUCGGAGCAAGGAGACAGGUGGUGCAUGGUUGUCGU